AAUAGAUACCCAGGUAGUCCACGCCGUAAACGAUGGAUACUAGCUGUUCGGAGCAAUCUGAGUGGCUAAGCGAAAGUGAUAAGUAUCCCACCUGGGGAGUACGUUCGCAAGAAUGAAACUCAAAGGAAUUGACGGGGGCCCGCACAAGCGGUGGAGCAUGUGGUUUAAUUCGAUGAUACGCGAGGAACCUUACCAAGGCUUAAAUGUAGAUUGACCGGUUUGGAAACAGAUCUUUCGCAAGACAAUUUACAAGGUGCUGCAUGGUUGUCGUCAGCUCGUGCCGUGAGGUGUCAGGUUAAGUCCUAUAACGAGCGCAACCCCUGUCGUUAGUUGCCAGCGAGUGAUGUCGGGAACUCUAACGAGACUGCCAGUGUAAACUGUGAGGAAGGUGGGGAUGACGUCAAAUCAUCACGGCCCUUACGCCUUGGGCUACACACGUGCUACAAUGGCCGGUACAGAGAGCAGCCACUGGGCGACCAGGAGCGAAUCUAUAAAACCGGUCACAGUUCGGAUCGGAGUCUGCAAC
rnacentral:rRNA from 1 species